CGAACGCUGGCGGCGUGCUUAACACAUGCAAGUCGAACGGAAAGGCCUCUUUCGGGGGGUACUCGAGUGGCGCACGGGUGAGUAACACGUGAGUAACCUGCCCUUGACUUUGGGAUAACUUCAGGAAACUGGGGCUAAUACCGGAUAGGAGCUCCUGCUGCAUGGUGGGGGUUGGAAAGUUUCGGCGGUUGGGGAUGGACUCGCGGCUUAUCAGCUUGUUGGUGGGGUAGUGGCUUACCAAGGCUUUGACGGGUAGCCGGCCUGAGAGGGUGACCGGCCACAUUGGGACUGAGAUACGGCCCAGACUCCUACGGGAGGCAGCAGUGGGGAAUAUUGCACAAUGGGUGGAAGCCUGAUGCAGCAACGCCGUGUGCGGGAUGACGGCCUUCGGGUUGUAAACCGCUUUCGCUCAUGACGAAGCUUUGUGUGACGGUAGUGGGUAAAGAAGCACCGGCUAACUACGUG
rnacentral:rRNA from 1 species